GUCUCUCCUCCCGACGCCUCGCUCGUUCCCAUAAAAAAAUCCCCUCGGUCUCUCCUCCCCGUCUCUCCUCCCGACGCGACGGCGACAGGCGACGGCGCCACCCGCGGGCGGGCUUCCCCUCUCUCUGUCCCUCUCCUCCGGCGUUGCGGCGUGCUAGGUGGCCAAGGACCGUGGCCUCCUCUUCACGCGAUGCCGGGGUGUUGGCGCCCUCCACGGGCGCUCGACGAAACCCUAGGUACCUGUUCCUCACCGUCGGCGGUGGCGGCGAAGCUCACCGGCUUCAUCCCAUCGGGAGACAGAAUGUCCAAAUGAUUUGGCUAUCCAGUCCCUUUUAUCAGCAGUGGAUUCAUUUGGUGCUGAUUACAAGCUUCUUGGGAUACAGGCUUCCAGGGAGCCAACGACAUGAUAUAAGAAACUUUUCAUGCUUCCAUUGGCCCAAUUCUACAAUGGCAUUGUCAGGUUUUAUGUGUCUCACAAAACUCAUUCGCUUUCCUGCACUCAAAUCACAGUUUAGUGUACUUAGAGCAACUGUGUUUUUACUUUCCAGUCACCCUUUCACAACUGGACUUAACAGAUGGAAACAUGCGGAUAAAGUAAUUUAGUUGGAGCUAUUGGAAUUUACGGCUCAUAGUACCUGUUCUCUUUGCGUUUCCUUGCAUCUAAUUUUCAUGGAUUUGCCAUGUUUAAUUUAAUUCUAGGAGCAAAGGAAGAGAUUACACAGGAUGGCCAUGCGGUUCUGCAUUGGUUUUGUGUCAGGGAGGACUAAAUGGUCCGUGGACAAUUUGUUCAGAUCUUUGAUAUCGUCCUCAUCUUCUUUGCAAUUCCAGUUUGAUCCCCCUAAGGCUGGGGUUCCAAUGCAUCACAUAUUUGACCAUAAAUGUAGCGGAUAUAGAAUGGGUGGUUAGUACCUACUAUAAAAUUUAUCACUACCGGUUUCUGAAAGAUAUAUUUAUGUACUCCUAUUGAUCGUUUAGUACUCUAGCCAAAUUCCUUUUGACUUUUCAUGCUCAUAGGUCAUCCAACUUUGUAUUUAUUUUUGGCGCUCCAUCUUCCUGUCUAUUAAUUGAUAUCGGUUUGUUGCCAACCCUUCUCUGGCACUAAUCGGUCUAAGAGUUUUUCCAACCAUAUCGAAGACAUCUAUAUGUUUCUAUCCUCACUUCAUCAUCAUAAAUGAAUUAUAUAGGUGUCGUAAGAGUUCUUGCAAGUCGAAGCUUUUGAAAACCUCAGUAAUGCUAUUGGAAUCUUGGUCAUCUCCACAGAAUAUUCAGCCUCAAGCAUUUUGCCUGUGUUUUUAAUAAUAUUCCUGUCCUUGCACAAAAAACUUACUUUGACUGAUCUUCAGGUAAGCUACCUGUGCACUAAAGUUUCUUUAUUUUCUGCUCUCAUACUUGCCUUUCCUCUCUAUACCUAUCAUACCGUCAUCCACUUCCUAAAGCAAACCUUGUGGUGUUUAACUAUAGACUAACAAGAUAUGCAAUUAACCACUCUCUUUCACAGUUCAAAAUUGUGUUACACGCACUGCUCCAUGUGUAAAAGGAGACCAGCUAAGCACUCUCUUCGAGAAUUAAAAAAUGGGUUCCAAGACCUGAUGCUUGUGUUCAAGGAAACCAGCUACACGAAGGCUCACAUACCUUCCUUCUUAGGAUGCUGUGUCUGAAGCUGAGAAGACCAUAGGGUGCUAUGUGGAAGCCAGCUGGGAAGCCAGAACAUACAACUCUCAUGGGAGGUCAUAUUCCCUUUGUUGAAUUUUUGUUUCAGCCUCAACAAGAGCCGGACCAAUUUAGUGGUGGCUAUUAUGGGUAUCCCCAAGGAUACUAUCCAUAUGGUUGCUUGCCCCCUCAAAAUCCUGCCAUAUACACCUACACAACAAUAUCCAAGGUAUCAAAGUUACCAACAGCAGCCAGCAUUGCAGCCUCCACCAUAACAGUAGGAGUAAAGAUGACCCGAGAGGAUCUUUUGCAAACUGCCCCCAAUGUUGUUGGGGCAGCAUCUUUGGUGCAUCAGCACGACAAUCUCCUUACUUUUGCACUGUUAUAUGUAUGUUCCAUAGAAUGUGUUCAGUUAUGUCCAGGGAAACAAUGCUACCUAUGAUUCCGUCUAUUGUACAACAACACCAUGCCCAAAGCCACAUUUACAUGUACAAAUCAUGUGGCAUCGCACGUAUUGUAUGCCUAUGCUUCAUUACUCCCUAACACCAUAUGUAAUAUAUUCUUAUUUGUUGUAAGACCAAUUACAGCCACUUACUUUUAAUUAA